rnacentral:rRNA from 1 species
AAAUUGAAGAGUUUGAUCAUGGCUCAGAUUGAACGCUGGCGGCAGGCCUAACACAUGCAAGUCGAACGGUAACAGGAAGCAGCUUGCUGCUUUGCUGACGAGUGGCGGACGGGUGAGUAAUGUCUGGGAAACUGCCUGAUGGAGGGGGAUAACUACUGGAAACGGUAGCUAAUACCGCAUAAUGUCGCAAGACCAAAGAGGGGGACCUUCGGGCCUCUUGCCAUCGGAUGUGCCCAGAUGGGAUUAGCUAGUAGGUGGGGUAAAGGCUCACCUAGGCGACGAUCCCUAGCUGGUCUGAGAGGAUGACCAG